UGGGGAAUUUUGGACAAUGGGCGAAAGCCUGAUCCAGCAAUGCCGCGUGUGUGAAGAAGGCCUUCGGGUUGUAAAGCACUUUUGUCCGGAAAGAAAUCCUUGGCUCUAAUACAGUCGGGGGAUGACGGUACCGGAAGAAUAAGCACCGGCUAACUACGUGCCAGCAGCCGCGGUAAUACGUAGGGUGCAAGCGUUAAUCGGAAUUACUGGGCGUAAAGCGUGCGCAGGCGGUUUGCUAAGACCGAUGUGAAAUCCCCGGGCUCAACCUGGGAACUGCAUUGGUGACUGGCAGGCUAGAGUAUGGCAGAGGGGGGUAGAAUUCCACGUGUAGCAGUGAAAUGCGUAGAGAUGUGGAGGAAUACCGAUGGCGAAGGCAGCCCCCUGGGCCAAUACUGACGCUCAUGCACGAAAGCGUGGGGAGCAAACAGGAUUAGAUACCCUGGUAGUCCACGCCCUAAACGAUGUCAACUAGUUGUUGGGGAUUCAUUCCUUAGUAACGUAGCUAACGCGUGAAGUUGACCGCCUGGGGAGCACGGUCGCAAGAUUAAAACUCAAAGGAAUUG
rnacentral:rRNA from 1 species